rnacentral:snRNA from 1 species
AGAUAUGAGGCGAUCUGGCUGUGACCUCUGUCACCCACUGAUCGCCAGGGUUGGCUCUGUGGGCCUGGCUGGCUGGUGGGUGUCCCCUUCCUCUCUCAGGGCUCCAUGUGGUCCCUCCCGAAGCUGUGCACUCUCUCAGUCAGCCAAGGAGGACGACAGCCCCGACAGAAGAGGACCACUCCUUGGCCAGGGGUCUGCAAGUGGCUGCGCUCCCCUGCUGGAGCCUCCAAACAAGCACUCAAGGUUUAUUAAGGGACCUGAUAAUUUUGUCUUAUUUCUCCAAAGCUUCUCUGUUUUU